UACGAAGGGGGCUAGCGUUGCUCGGAAUUACUGGGCGUAAAGGGAGCGUAGGCGGGUCGUCAAGUUGGGGGUGAAAGCCCAGGGCUCAACCUUGGAAUUGCCUUCAAAACUGACGAUCUAGGAGUAUGGAAGAGGUAAGUGGAACUCCGAGUGUAGAGGUGAAAUUCGUAGAUAUUCGGAAGAACACCAGUGGCGAAGGCGACUUACUGGUCCAUGACUGACGCUGAGGCUCGAAAGCGUGGGGAGCAAACAGG
rnacentral:rRNA from 1 species